UACGGAAGGUCCGGGCGUUAUCCGGAUUUAUUGGGUUUAAAGGGAGCGUAGGCGGAGCGUCAAGCCAGCAGUGAAAUGUAGCGGCCCAACCGCUGCACUGCUGUUGGAACUGGCGCCCUUGAGUGCACACGAGGCAUGCGGAAUUUGUGGUGUAGCGGUGAAAUGCUUAGAUAUCACGAAGAACUCCGAUUGCGAAGGCAGCGUGCCGGAGUGCAACUGACGCUGAAGCUCGAAAGUGCGGGUAUCGAACAGG
rnacentral:ncRNA from 3 species